UACGUAGGCAGCGAGCGUUUGUUCGGAAUUACUGGGCGUAAAGAGUGUGUAGGCGGUGCUCUAAGUUCGGGUGUGAAAUCUCCUGGCUCAACUGGGAGGGUGCGCCGGAAACUGGAGUGCUUGAGCGUGGGGAGAGGAAAGCGGAAUUCCUGGUGUAGCGGUGAAAUGCGUAGAUAUCAGGAGGAACACCGAUGGCGAAGGCAGGUCUCUGGGCAUUAACUGACGCUGAGGAGCGAAAGCAUGGGGAGCGAACAGG
rnacentral:rRNA from 1 species